CACCCCGCUGGUCAUUUACCUUCCGUACAUCUGUCAAACCCUUACUGACUUUCCUUGUCCAUAACUUUCUCCUCUUUUGUUUACUCCUUUGGAACUGCCAUGUUAGGGCUUUAGGAGUAUCAAUAAACACAUUUCAAGCCACCAUAUUUAACUAGAAGUAUGUUGGCCUUCUUUAUAAUUUUGGAUUAUAUUUUGAUUCUUUAGGUCUGCCUUUCCACAGAAAGUUGGGAAAUAGAAAUUCUGACUUUUUCAGCUGCAUUACAAAGCAUAAACAUGAAGGUAUGAGGACAACCUUCGCAGAGUGCCAGGGUGGCUUGUGCUUACAGCCAUGGAUUCAUUCCUCAAGGAUUCACAUGGAUCUGAACACCCUGCAUCAUCUGCUAGAGAUUUAUUACAACAUGGCUCAGGAAAACAGGUUACAGGACCCUUUUAAAAGGGAGUACUGCCUCUUGAUGGAACCCCAGCUGUAACACUAAGUGGGUAGCAAUUCCCUCUAGACAUAUUAAAGUUCCAGAGCUUCUGCUGUUAAUAUGACACCAGAUCCUUCUGUAUUUUUCUAAAUGUCAAUAAAUGAAACAACCCCCCCCCAAACAUGAUAUGAACAAGCAUUCAAAGGCAUAAAAUUGAUACAUGAUUUAAGAUUUGCAAAUGUGCUAAAAUAUUUUUUUUUCAAAUAUAUCCAUCCAAUCAAUCAUUAGGUUAAAAGGCAUGUUUCAAUGCAUUGCUGAAGGUUUGUUACAAAAAUCUAUAACCCACCUCCACUGUAAUCAGGAGACUGAGUUAACUAUAUUAAGUCUGUAUUUCUAAUAUUCUCAGACAAGGUGUGAGAAUGAUGCUAGAAUAAAGCCAAUAUAUUGUGACAAUGCUCAUAGUCUCAUCAAUAAAUAUAUUUUCAACAUUUAAACAGAUUUUUUUUUAAUAUAACCUGUUGACAGAAAAUUAUCUCCAUAAUUAUUUUAAAAGAAAUAGCAUUUUCAAGUGACAAAGGUGUGAGUGUAAUUUUUCUUCAGGAUCACCAACACAGAUACGUUGGAGGACUUUUACUCCAGGACUGCUUUCUGGGUCUAGGCUAGAGAACUGCCUCAAAGUUCAUUUUGGUACAUUAGCCAUUCACGUACCAGUGAAGACCUGUCUUAUACAGAAUCACACUUACAGAGUACUGUAAACUGGGAUCCAACAUAUCUACCUUCAUUCAAGCCCACAGCAGUCCUGCUGAGAAUUCAUGUCGGCUCCAUGCAUUCUUCAGGACUCCAUUACAGCAAAAUCGGCACCUAGAGCUACAUACAUAUGUUUAAAAUUUUAUUGACAAUAACGAAGGCUGUCUCCGGAAAUUCAACUCAAAGCAUGUGAAGAGUGAAAUGCCAGUCAAAGAGGCUUUUCUGCCUGUCUACUUUCUGCACAUUUGUAGAGCAUGUUUUUCUCCCACUGUGGAACAUAAAAAUAAAAACUUUAAUGGUCUGUGUUAGCAGGACUUAAGAUCUGCAUCCCUACUAUUGAAUCCUAAUUUUUGAUUCUCAAUAGGAAAGUCAUGUUGAGUUACAGUAAUCAAGCAAUAGUUCAAACGAAAAGGCUAAAAAUAAUUUGAAAUAUUAUCAAAUUACAAAGUAUUGCUUCUCAUAAACAAAGCUGCACAUAAAAUUCAAACUAUUAUAAAUUCACAAUUAUGAAGAGCUAUUUAAAAGCAUGGAAAUUUUUACUUUGAAACUUUACAAACUGUUACAUGUGUGGGCUUCUAAAAAUAUGCCAUGUUAAAUGUAUCACGUUGUGGUAAACACAGUUAUAGGUGUAUCUCCAUGGUCGUGUAUCUUUUCAGAUGUUGCUAAGCAUCUUUAUGAAAAUCCCUUGGAGAUGAAUAAUGUGGGAACUGUCAGUGCAUUUCCAUCUGAUUCUUCCAAUUCCUACCCUAUAGCUAUCACAAUUAACUUCUUUUUCAGAGGGUCACACUAUUUAAGCUGAUACAGAACAAGCUCUGUAUCUUGGGCAGGUGACUAUUCAGUGCACUGAACGAUAGAUUUUAAAGCAGUCUCAACACAGCUCACAGUAGAUCCGUCAACCCAGUGUUUCUUCCAACUCACAGCGACCCCGAGCUUUACUGGCCACUACAGGGAUGUAAACGGGUGGACAGGUGGGGAAGGUGCUUAAAAACAGGAAUCUUCAGAAGGCCGUUUCUUCGUUGCAGUCAGGAACAUUGCACAUCUAAAACUCAUGUUAACCACCAUCUACUGGAAUGACUGGAAAAGUGGUAACUUGCCCGUUGUGCUUCCUUUUUCACACCACUGAGCCAAUGCAUUUUGGAUCUAAUAGAAUCCAAUCGUGGAACCAAAUGUUUACAAUUUUUCAAGAGCCAAUGUUCAACUGUAGGUGUUUUUUCGUUGAGUUACCUGUGUACAGAGUAAUACAGUAUAUUAAAAAACAAUGGCCUACGAAAGACAUUGUGUAUUAUGUUCCCUUGUAUCUUUGCAAAACCCAGCAUGAACAAUGAUGGGUUUUUUCUUUUAAAUGGCCUUUUUAUACCAUUUGGCCAUUAUAAAUGACCAUUU
ensembl:lncRNA